rnacentral:rRNA from 1 species
AUUGAACGCUGGCGGCAGGCCUAACACAUGCAAGUCGAGCGGAUGAAGGGAGCUUGCUCCUGGAUUCAGCGGCGGACGGGUGAGUAAUGCCUAGGAAUCUGCCUGGUAGUGGGGGAUAACGUCCGGGAACGGGCGCUAAUACCGCAUACGUCCUGAGGGAGAAAGUGGGGGAUCUUCGGACCUCACGCUAUCAGAUGAGCCUAGGUCGGAUUAGCUAGUUGGUGGGGUAAAGGCCUACCAAGGCGACGAUCGGUAACUGGUCUGAGAGGAUGAUCAGUCACACUGGAACUGAGACACGGUCCAGACUCCUACGGGAGGCAGCAGUGGGGAAUAUUGGACGAUGUGCGAAAGCCUGAUCCAGCCAUGCCGGGUGUGUGAAGAAGGGCUUCGGAUUGUAAAGCACUUUAAGUGGGGAGGAAGGGUAGUAAGUUAAUACCUUGCUGUUUUGACGUUACCAACAGAAUAAGCACCGGCUAACUUCGUG